GUUCACCCAUUCUCCCUCUCUUAUCAUCCAUUUGCUAUGCUCAGUUCAUUCAAAGCAGUAGACCACUCAAGAAAACACACCCAGGUACUGAAACGCUGGAUCAAGGAACACAGUAAACAGGAGGUCUCUCCAGUAACAGAGACACUGCAGUCCUCCUCCACCUCCUCUUCUAGCUCCUCAUUUAGUGAUAGCGAGGACUCCUUAAAAGAUGAAAUCGCAAACUAUGAGGGCUCGCAAGAAUCUCUGCAGGACUGAAAACAGCA